UGGGGAAUAUUGCACAAUGGGCGCAAGCCUGAUGCAGCCAUGCCGCGUGUGUGAAGAAGGCCUUCGGGUUGUAAAGCACUUUCAGCGGGGAGGAAGGCGUUAAGGUUAAUAACCUUGGCGAUUGACGUGACCCGCAGAAGAAGCACCGGCUAACUCCGUGCCAGCAGCCGCGGUAAUACGGAGGGUGCAAGCGUUAAUCGGAAUUACUGGGCGUAAAGCGCACGCAGGCGGUCUGUCAAGUCGGAUGUGAAAUCCCCGGGCUCAACCUGGGAACUGCAUUCGAAACUGGCAGGCUAGAGUCUUGUAGAGGGGGGUAGAAUUCCAGGUGUAGCGGUGAAAUGCGUAGAGAUCUGGAGGAAUACCGGUGGCGAAGGCGGCCCCCUGGACAAAGACUGACGCUCAGAUGCGAAAGCGUGGGGAGCAAACAGG
rnacentral:rRNA from 1 species